rnacentral:rRNA from 1 species
GACGAACCGAGCGAACGUUAUUCGGAAUCACUGGGCUUAAAGGGUGCGUAGGCGGGCCCGUCAGUCAGGGGUGAAAUCCCACGGCCCAACCGUGGAAGUGCCUCUGAUACUGCGGGCCUGGAGGGGGAUAGGGGCGUGCGGAACUUCCGGUGGAGCGGUGAAAUGCGUAGAUAUCGGGAGGAACACCGGUGGCGAAAGCGGCGCGCUGGAUCCCUACUGACGCUGAGGCACGAAAGCCAGGGGAGCAAACGGG